rnacentral:rRNA from 1 species
UGGAUCCAGACUUUGAUUCUGGCUCAGGAUGAACGCUAGCUACAGGCUUAACACAUGCAAGUCGAGGGGAAACGACAUCGAAAGCUUGCUUUUGAUGGGCGUCGACCGGCGCACGGGUGAGUAACGCGUAUCCAACCUGCCCACCACUUGGGGAUAACCUUGCGAAAGUAAGACUAAUACCCAAUGACGUCUCUAGAAGACAUCUGAAAGAGAUUAAAGAUUUAUCGGUGAUGGAUGGGGAUGCGUCUGAUUAGCUUGUUGGCGGGGUAACGGCCCACCAAGGCAACGAUCAGUAGGGGUUCUGAGAGGAAGGUCCCCCACAUUGGAACUGAGACACGGUCCAAACUCCUACGGGAGGCAGCAGUGAGGAAUAUUGGUCAAUGGACGAGAGUCUGAACCAGCCAAGUAGCGUGCAGGAUGACGGCCCUAUGGGUUGUAAACUGCUUUUAUAAGGGAAUAAAGUGAGUCUCGUGAGACUUUUUGCAUGUACCUUAUGAAUAAGGACCGGCUAAUUCCGUGCCAGCAGCCGCGGUAAUACGGAAGGUCCGGGCGUUAUCCGGAUUUAUUGGGUUUAAAGGGAGCGUAGGCCGGAGAUUAAGCGUGUUGUGAAAUGUAGACGCUCAACGUCUGCACUGCAGCGCGAACUGGUUUCCUUGAGUACGCACAAAGUGGGCGGAAUUCGUGGUGUAGCGGUGAAAUGCUUAGAUAUCACGAAGGACUCCGAUUGCGGAGGCAGCUCACUGGAGCGCAACUGACGCUGAAGCUCGAAAGUGCGGGUAUCGAACAGGAUUAGAUACCCUGGUAGUCCGCACGGUAAACGAUGGAUGCCCGCUGUUGGUCUGAAUAGGUCAGCGGCCAAGCGAGAGCAUUAAGCAUCCCACCUGGGGAGUACGCCGGCAACGGUGCAACUCAAAUGAAUUGACGGA